rnacentral:rRNA from 1 species
GAGUUUGAUUCUGGCUCAGGAUGAACGCACAAGACGUGCCUAACACAUGCAAAUCGAAUGAAAAUAAUUAAUUAUUGUUUUCAUGGUGAACGGGGAGUAACACAUAAGAAUCAGCUUUUAGAUAAGGCAUAAAAGAGUAAUAUCUUGGUAAUUCCUUAUAUGCGCAGCAGUGCUUAAAAAGGGGAGUCCCGUCUAAAAACGAGCUUAUGCCUGAUUAGCUAGUUGGCGAGUUAAAAGCUCACCAAGGCGAAGAUCAGUAGCUGGCCUGAGAGGGCGGCCAGCCACAUUGGGACUGAGACACGGCCCAAACUCCUACGGGAGGCAGCAGUGGGGAAUCUUCUGCAAUGGGCGCAAGCCUGACAGAGCGGCGUCGUGUGAAGGAAGAAGGCCUGAAAUAGGUUGUAAACUUCUUUUACUGAGUAAUGAAUAAUGACAACGCAGUAAAAAAGUAUCGGCUAACUCCGUGCCAGCAGCCGCGGUAAUACGGGGGAUGCAAGCGUUAUCCGGAAUAACUGGGCGUAAAGCGUCUGUAGGUGGUUUAGUGUGUUCUUAGUUAAAUUCUGAAGCCUAACUUCAUGAAAAGUAAGAAAACUAUUAGACUUGAGUACGGUAGGGGUAAGAGGAAUUCUUCGAGAAGUAGUGAAAUGCGAAGAUACGAAGGAGAAGAUCAUAAGCGAAGGCUUCUUACUGGGUCGUAACUGACACUGAGAGACGAAAGCUAGGGGAGCGAAUGGGAUUAGAUACCCCAGUAGUCCUAGCUGUAAACGAUGGAUAUUCGGUGCCGGAAAUUUUAUUAGAACAUUUCGGUACCCUAGCUAACGCGUUAAAUAUCCCGCCUGAGGAGUACGCUCGCAAGGGUGAAACUCAAAGGAAUUGACGGGGGCUCGCACAAGCGGUGGAGCAUGUGGUUUAAUUCGAU